UACAGAGGUCUCAAGCGUUGUUCGGAUUCAUUGGGCGUAAAGGGUGCGUAGGUGGCGAGGUAAGUUGGAUGUGAAAUCCCGGGGCUCAACCCGGAACUGCAUUCAAUACUGCCUUGCUUGAGUACUGGAGAGGAGAUUGGAAUUUACGGGUGUAGCAGUGAAAUGCGUAGAUAUCGUAAGGAAGACCAGUGGCGAAGGCGGAUCUCUGGACAGUUACUGACACUGAGGCACGAAGGCCAGGGAGCAAACGGG
rnacentral:rRNA from 1 species